rnacentral:miRNA from 7 species
UAUUCCUUGCAGGUUUUGCCUGU